rnacentral:rRNA from 1 species
UACGGGAGGGGCAAGCGUUGUUCGGAAUUACUGGGCGUAAAGGGUGCGUAGGCGGCGCGGUAAGUCGGGUGUGAAAUCUUGGAGCUUAACUCCGAAACUGCAUUCGAUACUGCCGUGCUUGAGGACUGGAGAGGAGACUGGAAUUUACGGUGUAGCGGUGAAAUGCGUAGAUAUCGUAAGGAAGACCAGUGGCGAAGGCGGGUCUCUGGACAGUUCCUGACGCUGAGGCACGAAGGCCAGGGGAGCAAACGGG